rnacentral:rRNA from 1 species
UACGGAGGGUGCAAGCGUUAUCCGGAUUUACUGGGUUUAAAGGGUGUGUAGGCGGGCUUUUAAGUCAGUGGUGAAAUCUCCGGGCUCAACCCGGAAACUGCCAUUGAUACUAUUAGUCUUGAAUUUUGUUGAGGUAGGCGGAAUAAGUCAUGUAGCGGUGAAAUGCUUAGAUAUGACUUAGAACACCAAUUGCGAAGGCAGCUUGCUAAACAAACAUUGACGCUGAGGCACGAAAGCGUGGGGAUCAAACAGGG